rnacentral:rRNA from 1 species
UACGGAGGGUGCGAGCGUUAAUCGGAAUUACUGGGCGUAAAGCGCACGUAGGCGGUCUGGUAAGUCGGAUGUGAAAGCCCUGGGCUUAACCUGGGAACUGCACCCGAUACUGCAUGGCUAGAGUAUGGGAGAGGGAAGCGGAAUUUCCGGUGUAGCGGUGAAAUGCGUAGAUAUCGGAAGGAACACCAAUGGCGAAGGCAGCUUCCUGGCCCAAUACUGACGCUCAGGUGCGAAAGCGUGGGGAUCAAACAGG